CUUUAACGGCCACGGUACCCUAACCGUGCAAAGGUAGCAUAAUCACUUGUUCUUUAAAUAAGGACUCGUAUCAACGGCAUCACGAGGGUUCUACUGUCUCCUUUUUUUAAUCAGUGAAACUAAUCUCCCCGUGAAGAAGCGGGGAUAUUCUUAUAAGACGAGAAGACCCCAUGGAGCUUUAAACCCAACUAUAUACCUAACUAUUAUAACCACUUAAUCCCUUAGCAUUAAUAUAUUUGGUUUUAGGUUGGGGCGACCACGGAGUAUAACUAAACCUCCACAAUGAACGAAACAACCCUUCUUAUCUGAGAAUUACACCUCUAAGAAUUAGUACACUAACAUAAAAUGACCCAUUAUUGAUCAACGAACCAAGUUACCCUGGGGAUAACAGCGCAAUCCAUUUUAAGAGCCCCUAUCGACAAAUGGGUUUACGA
rnacentral:rRNA from 1 species